GUCAGACAUCGUGCGAGAAGCGCUCCUGGCCGGGGGCUCGGGAAAACCACGGCGAACAAACACCCGCGCGGGUCCUUCUGCUCACGGAGGCGGGGGGGGGGGAAUAUCUACGGAUUUACAGUCACCCGGCUCCUCCACAGCUGAAAAGAGCCAUGCUUGCUCCUGGAGAGAGGUCGAGCCUGGAAAAUUUAAGUCUGAAAGGAGAAAGUUUGGGGAAUUUAUGAAUAUGCCUGGUGUCUGUCAUGGUAAAUAAAUAAAUAA